GGGUGUAUAGCUCAGUUGGUAGAGCACUUGCCUCUUAAGCAAAUGGUCCUGGGUUCGAGUCCCAGUGCACCCACCA
rnacentral:tRNA from 1 species